AUUGAACGCUGGCGGCAGGCCUAACACAUGCAAGUCGAACGAGUGGCGGACGGGUGCGUAAUGUCUGGGAAACUGCCUGAUGGAGGGGGAUAACUACUGGAAACGGUAGCUAAUACCGCAUACCAUCAGAUGUUCCCCGAUGGGAUUAGCUUGUGGGUGGGGUAACGGCUCACCAAGGCGACGCUCCCUAGCUGGUCUGAGAGGAUGACCGGCCACACUGGAAUUGAGAAACGGUCCAGACUCCUACGGGAGGCAGCAGUGGGGAAUAUGGCACAAUGGGCGCAAGCCUGAUGCAGCCAUGCCGCGUGUAUGAAGAAGGCCUUCGGGGUGUAAAGUACUUUCAGCGGGGAGGCGUUACCCGCAGAAGAAGCACCGGCUAACUCCGUGCCAGCAGCCGCGGUAAUAC
rnacentral:rRNA from 1 species